GACGAACGCUGGCGGCGUGCUUAACACAUGCAAGUCGAACGGAAAGGCCCUGCUUUUGUGGGGUGCUCGAGUGGCGAACGGGUGAGUAACACGUGAGUAACCUGCCCUUGACUUUGGGAUAACUUCAGGAAACUGGGGCUAAUACCGGAUAGGAGCUCCUGCUGCAUGGUGGGGGUUGGAAAGUUUCGGCGGUUGGGGAUGGACUCGCGGCUUAUCAGCUUGUUGGUGGGGUAGUGGCUUACCAAGGCUUUGACGGGUAGCCGGCCUGGGAGGGUGACCGGACACAUUGGGACUGGGAUACGGCCCAGAAUCCUACGGGGGGCAGCAGUGGGGAAUAAUGCACAAUGGGGCGAAGCCUGAUGCAGCAACGCCGCGUGCGGGAAGACGGCCUUCGGGUUGUAAACCGCUUUCGCCUGGGACGAAGCGUGGGUGACGGUAAUGGGUAAAGGAGAACCGGCUAACUACGGG
rnacentral:rRNA from 1 species